GACAGAGGGUGCAAACGUUGUUCGGAAUUACUGGGCGUAAAGCGAGUGUAGGCGGUUUGGUAAGUCGGAUGUGAAAGCCCCGGGCUCAACCCGGGAAGUGCACUCGAUACUGCCAAGCUAGAGUAUCGGAGAGGUUGGUGGAAUUCUCGGUGUAGAGGUGAAAAUUCGUAGAUAUCGAGAGGAACACCGGUGGCGAAGGCGGCCAACUGGACGAAUACUGACGCUGAGACUCGAAAGCGUGGGGGAGCAAACAGG
rnacentral:rRNA from 1 species